rnacentral:rRNA from 1 species
GCAUAACGCGAAGAACCUUACCAGGGCUUGACAUCCCUCUGGCCCCUCUAGAGAUAGAGGUUCUCUUCGGAGCAGAGGUGACAGGUGGUGCAUGGUUGUCGUCAGCUCGUGUCGUGAGAUGUUGGGUUAAGUCCCGCAACGAGCGCAACCCUUGUCCUUAGUUGCCAGCAUUUAGUUGGGCACUCUAAGGAGACUGCCGUCGACAAGACGGAGGAAGGUGGGGAUGACGUCAAAUCAUCAUGCCCCUUAUGUCCUGGGCUACACACGUGCUACAAUGGAUGGUACAACGGGCUGCGAACUCGCGAGAGUAAGCCAAUCCCAAAAAACCAUUCUCAGUUCGGAUUGUAGGCUGCAACUCGCCUACAUGAAGUCGGAAUCGCUAGUAAUCGCGGAUCAGCAUGCCGCGGUGAAUACGUUCCCGGGUC